GUUGCUGAGGACGAGCUCAUGAGAAUUCUCAUUCUUGUGAGGAAUUUCUUGCCUGGUUACCAUCAGGCUAUUACCGGAGAAUGGAAUGUUGCUGGAAUUGCACAUAGAGCCUAUGAUCUUGAAGGAAAGACAGUUGGAACGGUUGGUGCGGGACGAAUCGGGAAGCUUUUACUCCAAAGGCUGAAACCCUUUAACUGUAACCUUUUAUAUCAUGAUAGACUUAAGAUGGAGCCUGAAUUGGAGAAAGAAAUUGGAGCUCAGUUUGAGGAGGAUCUUGAUGCUAUGCUACCAAAAUGCGACAUUAUUGUUAUGAACAUGCCUCUCACUGAUAAGACAAGGUAUAAUUUUAGUACUAAUAGCAUUCUAUUCAAGCUAUUUUUGACACUUGAAAUCUGAAGUCUAUAAGGGAAUUCAAGAUAUUCCAAUAUCAAAAUGACUUGGUUUUGAAUGAUGAGUGUGAGUACGUAUUCCAUGCGUUGUGUAUUCAUGCGUUGAAUGAGCAAACUUUUUUCUUUUUGUGAUUCAGAGGAUUGUUUGACAAAAAUAGAAUUGCCAAGUUGAAGAAAGGUGUCUUGAUUGUCAACAAUGCUCGCGGAGCACUUAUGGAUACACAAGCAGUUGCUGAUGCUUGUUCCAGUGGACACGUUGCAGGUAAUUCUAAAACCAGCCGACAUAAAAUGUGUUUCGAAGCAAAACAAAAAUUUAUGUUUGAAGUAAUGUAACACCUGAGUUUCAUCUAUAGGUUACAGUGGUGAUGUUUGGUUCCCACAACCAGCUCCAAAAGAUCAUCCAUGGCGCUACAUGCCUAAUCAUGCUAUGACUCCUCAUAUUUCUGGAACUACCAUUGAUGCACAGGUAGUUUAUUUUUGACAAAAUUACUUCACUCCUUUAUCUUAAUUUCUCGUUUCUGAGUUAGUCCUUUCAUUCUUUUUCUCUUUUCAUUUUAGCCUCACACUUUGCAUGCAUGCUUUUAAAUGAUAGUUUUGAGGCAAACUGUAGCGCCAUAUACUAGGAGAAAUGAAAACAAUUAUGUAGCACCGACAUUUCAUAUUGUAGGCGUGUCUAGUGUCCAACACGUGUCAAUAUUGAACAUGUGUCCGUAUUUGAUACUGACACAUGUGGUAGCAUACAAUUAUUUUAUUUUCUCGAAUUAUUACACGAGUGUUUGUACCCUUUAUAAAUACAAUGUGAUUAUGUGAUACAUCAACUGUGUCAUGAAUCAAAAUCCAAAAAACUGUUUUAGAAAGCCAACAUCAUGCCAACAUUGUUAAUGUUCUAGACUAUGCAUACAUAACCUUUUUGUUUGGCUAAGUUCAUUGACUACAUUUUCUCCAUUUUGUGUGUGAAACACUGAUGAUGAUAAUAAUUGAAACUUGUCCAGUUACGUUAUGCUGCUGGAGUCAAAGAUAUGCUUGAGAAGCACUUUAAGGGUGAAGACUUUCCUGAACAGAACUACAUUGUGAAGGAGGGUCAAUUGGCAAGCCAAUACCGGUGAAUGUAGUAUCGAAGAGUGGUUCUGACUUCUGCGUCUUGUGUUUUUAAGGCCAAUGAAUUACUAAAUAAAGAUAUCCGCGGCAUUGUAAUAAUGUACUCGGCUUUGUUGAGGUUGUAACUUGUUUAAUAAAAUUGCAAUGGACACAAGUAUCAUUCUUGUGUUUUUUUCUGAAUUUCAGUGUUCUGUUGGUAGUUAGUGUAUGUGUGUUUGAGUUAAGCAUUGAAUUACUCUUGGUAGAAUGUGAAUUUAAACAAUUCAACCUUUGAAUUGAAAAUAUUUAACUGAUAUAAUCCACGAGUCACUACAUUAGCAUGCCUCCUAGUGAAUUCCAUUAUUGAGUUUGGACAAUAUAGGGUAUUAAACCGGAUACAACUUUUUAUUAUAUAACCCAACCCAGAUGAUUCAAAAGUAUGGGUAUUAAAAUGAUCUAUCUAUAAAGCACAGACACAAUUAAAUGUAAUUGUAUGUACCAGUGUCAUGUCGACAUAUGUGUUGAACGUCAAACACAUCUUUGAUCAAAAGUGUCAGUGCUUUAGAGUCUACUACUUUCUACUUUAGAAUCUAGUGAUUUUCAUAUCGGUGUCGAACAAACAUGUGUCGAACGUCAAAUAUGUCUUUGAUCAAAAAUGUCAGUGCUUCAGAGUCUAUUAACUAUUUUAGAAUCUAGUUCAAAAAUCACGUUAUGAACUCCCAUAUCACUAAUUCAAAAGAAUAGCUUGCAGCAGGCCUGUCUUUAAGCAACUUGAAGCUUGGACAAAUUUUUAUUAUAUAUAAACAUUUUUUUUUAAAUAUAUUAUAUAUAAACUUUUAUAAGUGUUAUAUAUCUACUACAAAGUGUCAUUUCUAGUUUUAUCAUAUAAUAAUUCAUUCUUCUUGUAAGACUUUUUACAAAAAUGUGUUUGACUCUUAAUUUAACAUUUCUAUAAAUUUUUAGAUGUAUUUUUUACUCUUUUUCUGAAUAUAUCUCUUAUAAAAACUACCAAUUUGUCUUGCAAUGUAAAAAAAUAAUAUUGAAAAAUAUAAUGGUGGAACCAAUUUCUUAAGUGAAAAAUAAAAUCAUCCACAAUGGAUGGAAGGGUCUUAUCUUAAAGGCAAGAUACCUAAAAGAUACUCAUUAUAGAGCAAAAUAAAAAAAUGAUUACAUAUUGUGAAGAGGUGCUUUGUGAAUCACUCUUUUUUUUCGAUGGAACCUAUGUUUUUUAAUAUUAGAAUAAUGAAAUAUAAUGUUUUUUUUUUUUGUUGUUGAGGGAAGCAUGCUUAUAGCAUUUCAUUGAUAAUAAUAGUUUCAAUAUAAUUGGGUAUAUCGAAAUAAACGGCGGGACUAGCUAAAGACGUGGCCUCUCUUGCAAGAGCAUGAGCAACCGCGUUGGCUUGUCGCCUAACAAACUCCACCCUAGAGUUAGAAAAUAAAUUGUUGAACGAUAGGAUGAAUUGAUACAACCAAAUUGAGGCUAUCUCAAAAUCAACAUUAUCAAACUGCAUAUCACUCAACCAUUGCAGAGCAAAGUGGAGCCCUAAAGCUUCACCCACAACCAUUGUCAAACGGCUAGAAUGAAAUAUAAUGUUAUAAAGUUUUUGAUAAAUGAUUAAUAGAUUUUAUUUAAAAAAAUUGUGUGAAAUACUGGUGGGAGAAAAAUUAUAAAUAAAUUAUACGUACAAGUGAAACUCGUUUAAUACCAAAAAAAAUAGAUGUCUCUGCUGUAAUUUUGUAGAUGCUCUAAAACCAAAAUUUUAAGCAAGUCUUUUGUGUUUUUAUUACGUAAAGCUUGAUAAUUCUUCUGCACAUUUUGUUCUUUCUUUUUUUGGGCUAUUAUUACGCAUCUUUUUCCUCAGAAGGGUUUGGUCCAAAAGCAUGGUGUCUUUGGCAUCACAAAGGCAUUUAAGCGUGAUCCGUAAAUACAGCAUGAUGAUUAUUUAUGUUUCCUUUCGUGUGUAUGAACUACAUCACAUUUCUUUCUUCUUAGACAAUUUGUGAGUUCUUUUCAAUUUUGAGUGAAGUUUGAAAAAAUGGUUUGUUUCCUUACCUUUUAUCUUUGUUCGAUUGUUGAUUUGAUUGUCAAAACACGAUUUUUUAUGAUUGAUCAUAUGAGAGUCAUGUUUUCUCAUGUUUCAGAGUCAAGUCCACAUUCAUGUUUAUGUGUGCUACCUAUUUGUACACCAUAACAUUUGUUACUUAAGUGUCGAUAAAUGUAUGAACAGUAAAGAUUUUUAAAAAAUGACGUACAGAGGAAGGGCACUGUUAGAAAUCAUGUGCUCUUCUUUCCUUUUUUUUCCUCUUCGUUUUUGUGUUUUUUAAUUUUUAAAAUUGGCAAUAUCCAUGCACAAACACACUUAGAGAUGCCACGUCAACCAAAAUUGAGGGAAAAUGUGGGAGGCAUCAUGAAAUUGCACAACUGAGAAACUUGUAGGGUUAAAAUCGCCGAACAAAAAUCAAGGGGUCUAAAUCGGACAAUUAAAAAAUUUAGGGGGUUAAAAGUGCAAUUAAACUUUAAUAUUAUCAUUUACAAGAGAAAAUUAUUUUAGUCUUUUCAUGUGUGAGGUAUUAUCAAUGUAGUUUACAAGUUACUUAUUUGUGUUCGUAAUUUUAUUGAUUAAAAUGAUCAACGGAAAACACAUUUAAAGAUUAAACUAAAAUAACUAACAAAACUUACUUUACGGGUAGAUAUAUUUUUGUAAUUUUGAUACAUUUAACAGCGGCUCAUACAUUCAGUUAUGUAUGUUUUGUUUUGUUCUUUGACUUUUCUUAUACAAUUAUUAUUGAGAAUAGGCCUCUGAAGGAAAGAAGAAAAUUGUAGGUGUGUUCUACAAAGGAAAUGAGAAUGCUGCAUCCAAUCCCAAUUUUGUUGGAUGUGUUGAAGGAGCAUUAGGUAUACGUGAGUGGCUUGAAUCACAAGGACAUGAAUACAUUGUCACUGAUGACAAAGAAGGACCUGAUUCUGGUUAGAAUUUUGACAAAUUAAUCCACCCUCUUUAAACUUUAUCUUAAAAGUUUAUGAUUGCAUUAACUUAUGACUAUCUCUUAGACUGUUACCAGAACUCGAGAAGCACAUUCCCGAUCUGCAUGUCCUGAUAUCUACACCAUUUCACCCUGCCUAUGUAACCGAGGAAAGAAUUAAGAAAGCUAAGAAUUUACAGUUGCUUUUAACUGCUGGCAUUGGUUCCGAUCACAUUGAUCUCAAAGCUGCGGCUGCUGCUGGUUUAACCGUCGCAGAGGUCACAGGAAGCAACGUAGUAUCGGUUGCUGAGGAUGAGCUUAUGAGAAUUCUCAUUCUCGUGAGGAAUUUCUUGCCUGGUUACAAGCAGGCUGUUGCCGGAGAAUGGAAUGUUGCUGGUAUUGCACAUAGAGCCUAUGAUCUUGAAGGAAAGACGGUUGGAACAGUUGGUGCUGGACGAAUCGGGUAACUUUUACUCCAAAGGCUGAAGCCCUUUAACUGUAACCUUUUAUAUCAUGAUAGACUUAAGAUGGAGCCUGCAUUGGAGAAAGAAAUUGGAGCUCAGUUUGAGGACG
rnacentral:lncRNA from 1 species